UGGGGAAUUUUGGACAAUGGGCGCAAGCCUGAUCCAGCAAUGCCGCGUGCAGGAUGAAGGCCUUCGGGUUGUAAACUGCUUUUGUACGGAACGAAAAAGCUCUCUCUAAUACAGGGGGUGAAUGACGGUACCGUAAGAAUAAGCACCGGCUAACUUCGUGCCAGCAGCCGCGGUAAUACGAAGGGUGCAAGCGUUACUCGGAAUUACUGGGCGUAAAGCGUGCGUAGGUGGUUGUUUAAGUCUGAUGUGAAAGCCCUGGGCUCAACCUGGGAAUGGCAUUGGAAACUGGGCAGCUAGAGUGCGGUAGAGGGUAGUGGAAUUCCCGGUGUAGCAGUGAAAUGCGUAGAGAUCGGGAGGAACAUCUGUGGCGAAGGCGACUGCCUGGACCAGCACUGACACUGAGGCACGAAAGCGUGGGGAGCAAACA
rnacentral:rRNA from 1 species